rnacentral:rRNA from 1 species
CAAAGGUAGCAUAAUCAUUAGUUUUUUAAUUGAAAACUAGUAUGAAAGGUUUGACGUAAAUUUAACUUUUUUAAAAUAAUUUUGAAUUUAGUUUUUAAGUUAAAAAACUUAAGUUUUAAAAAGUGACGAUAAGACCCUAUAGAAUUUAAAAAAUUUAAAUUUUUUUUGUUGGGGUGACAAAAAUAAAACUUUAUAAUUAAAUCUUUUUAUUAGUUUAAGAUCUUAAGUUUAGAUAAAAAGAAUAAAUUACCUUAGGGAUAACAGCAUAAUUUUUUUUUUAAGAUCUAAUUUAUAAAAAAGAUUAUGACCUCGAUGUUGAAUUAAGAUAAUAUUUUGGUGCAAAAUUUAAAAUAUUUAGUCUGUUCGACUUAUUUUACAUGAUUUGAGUUCAAACCGGUGUGAGCCAGGU